GGAGAUUUCAUUGAAAUGGUCGUGAGAGAAUCAGGAGAGCCAAGAAGCACGGCGAUGCCGGGCUCGCCACGCGAAAACCACGAGAACGAGGCGAAGCGUGUCGGGGCGAGGAGGUGGGAGGUGGAAGGGGCAGAGUGAGGGCAGCAUAGCUGCGUAACAUUGUAGCGUAUAUAGUAGAGAGUGGAUCGAAGGAUCUCGAGGAAGGCAUCGGCGGCCCCCAAAGCUCGUUGGCUGUCGUAGCAAGCGUAGACCGAGCAUACCAGCCAGUCUGGCCGCCUGGCUGGCUGGCCAGCCGGUCGAUCAAUAUUGCCAUGGCUACGACGUGCAACGUGGAGGAGAAAGAAGAGGAGGAGGUGGCGGUGGAGGAGGCGGAGUAGGUGGCGGCUGGCUGGCUACAGAGAAUGCCGGUGGAGGGGUGGUUGCUCAUAUUCCGGUUACACACCGGAGGGUUGAGAACCAGAUCUGAUUCCGAGGGGCGGGGGCCUCGAUGUACGGAGGUUACAACGUAGUAGUAGAGAAAUACGUACUGCUACGUCACGAGACCUACACCUUGCCCCACCAACCCAACCACCCACCUCCGUUCUACUCGAGCGAUUCAUGACGACGUAGAAACUGCCGCUUCUCUCGUGAGCCCACCCCGCGAGCUUCGAAAGAAACGCUGACACGACCCGGACGAAAUGAGCUGGUUCUGGAAGAAACGUCGCAACUAAUUUUGAUGGCGAUAUGCACCGAGGGACGGGUCGGAAACGGCGAUAUAGCGAGGCGUGAUGAAAUGAAGGGAAAGCAACUGCUAAAGGCACAAAAAAGUAAGAAGACGGCGAAAAUAAAUAAUUGCGUGGAAGUUCGACAUUGAACUUAAUCGAUCUUCGACUACCAGGUUCAUUUCUUGCGCGCAAACUUGGCGAAGCGAAACAAGGCAUCUUCGAAUCAACAUUAUCAAUGUUUCCGCUUCGAGUACCAAUUCCAAUGAGCAACGGAGGUUGCUUUCAAACUCUGCUGCCAAUCGGUGUACAGGGUGUUCUAUAAAUCGUGUUACAACCAAACGCAA